rnacentral:rRNA from 1 species
UGGGGAAUUGUUCGCAAUGGGCGCAAGCCUGACGACGCAACGCCGCGUGGAGGAUGAAGAUCUUCGGGUUGUAAACUCCUUUCGAUCGAGACGAAUGGCCCUCGGGCUAACAUCCUGAGGGAGUGACGGUACCGAGAGAAGAAGCCCCGGCUAACUCCGUGCCAGCAGCCGCGGUAAUACGAAGGGGGCUAGCGUUGCUCGGAAUUACUGGGCGUAAAGGGCGCGUAGGCGGACAGUUUAGUCAGAGGUGAAAGCCCAGGGCUCAACCUUGGAAUUGCCUUUGAUACUGGCUGUCUUGAGUUCGGGAGAGGUGAGUGGAAUGCCGAGUGUAGAGGUGAAAUUCGUAGAUAUUCGGCGGAACACCAGUGGCGAAGGCGACUCACUGGCCCGAUACUGACGCUGAGGCGCGAAAGCGUGGGGAGCAAA